CCAGCAGCCGCGGUAAUUCCAGCUCCAAUAGCGUAUAUUAAAGUUGUUGCAGUUAAAAAGCUCGUAGUUGGAUUUCUGGUGUGUCAAGUCCGGUCCGCCCCGUAUUAGGUGGUGAGUACUGGCACUUGUCUGCCAUCCUUCCAGGAAGGUUCUGUCUACCCUUGAUUGGGCCGGAUGAAUCGACCUGGGACGUUUACUUUGAAGAAAUUAGAGUGUUUAAAGCAGGCUUAUCGCUUUGAAUAUAUUAGCAUGGAAUAAUAAGAUAGGACUUUGGUCCUAUUUUGUUGGUUUCUAGGACUAAAGUAAUGAUUAACAGGGACAGUUGGGGGUGCUGGUAUUUAACGGCCAGAGGUGAAAUUCUUG
rnacentral:rRNA from 1 species